UACGUAGGGGGCUAGCGUUGUCCGGAAUCAUUGGGCGUAAAGGGCGCGUAGGCGGGUUUUUACGUCGGGGGUGAAAUCCUGGAGCUCAACUCCAGAACUGCCUUUGAUACUGAAGAUCUUGAGUUCGGGAGAGGUGAGUGGAACUGCGAGUGUAGAGGUGAAAUUCGUAGAUAUUCGCAAGAACACCAGUGGCGAAGGCGGCUCACUGGCCCGAUACUGACGCUGAGGCACGAAAGCGUGGGGAGCAAACAGG
rnacentral:rRNA from 1 species